UGAUUUCUUUGAUGUGAAACCCGACGCGGGAUCCGAAUAAGUAAUUCGGGUCACUUAUUGUUCCUUCCAUCAUACGUCUCUUCUCGAUCUCUAAUCUUCAUUCACAUCCUAGGGUUUCUGCAACUUUAUUCGCACCUAUCCUUCUCAUCCAAUCGCAUCCAUUCGCACUUCAUUCUGCCGAUGUCUUCCAAAACCUAAUGGAUCCUUCAGUCGUUCAAUCUGUCGUUCCAUCCAAGCCUAUAAAAUCCAAUGUUCCAUCAGGUUAAUCUAUUCAGCACACAUCACUAGCAGGUACGAUUCCUUAUUUUCCUCACAAAACCUAAUCCAAAAAGUUAUCCUCUGUCUGAAAUGGCGCUGCCAAAAUCUUAUCAAGAUGGAUUGAGAUUGCUUAGCGAACAAAACCUAAUUCAGAGCUAUGGAAGGUUCAUAACCUACCAGAACCACUGUGGCAUAAAUUGAAUGCAUCACAUUUCUCUACUCCACACUAUCUCAAAACUUGAAUCGCGAUUACUUGGUUCAACACUACGGCUGGUUGGGAAGUUCAUUUUGUAGCAAUUUGUGUGAUCCGUGACCCAUGUCCUUCUCUGAAUGGGAGCACGUUUCUGAUUGCGAAAUUGUGCAAAAAAAGGAUUACUUUUGAUCAAUUUGAGAAUAUAACAGUUAAUUUGAAGCCUAAAUUGAGCAUUCAUGAAAAAGUAUGAGCAAGGCGCAACAAAUUGUAUAAGAGUUGAGGGACUACUUGAACAGCGAGAUGGAAUUGAAAUUGUUGGAUUGGAUAAAACAGCAACGCAAUUAGGUCACGUUACGCACACCAUUCAGUUUUGCUAUAGAGAUCCCUGUAUUCUAGCUAAUGGGAGCUUUUUACAUGGAUAAUAAACCUAUCCUUAAAGAGUUAAAGUUGAUAGAAAAGUUUGCAUUUUUAUGGAAAAUUGCUUUGGUUAACUUUCUUCAUAAAAUGAGCAAGGGGAAGAGUUGUUUUUUUGUCAAUAGCAAAGAGAUUGUUGAUUUAUGCUCUUGCAGGCCUUAUUGAAACACAUGGAUUUGUUAGAGACAGAGUAUAGACCAUAGAACCUGGCCCCUACAUUUCUACUUAAUGCCAAUGCCAAUUUUUAUUGAUUUGUUACUUAAACCCUCUGGAGAGGAUUUAAUGAAUUGGCCCCAUAGGUAUAUCUUAUCCAAGUAUGCUCAAAUUCUUUCUAGAAAUGAUCUCCAAGUUUUUGUUUUUAUUUUUUAUGUAAGCUUGGGAUUUAAGGGGAACUUGGCUAUUUACCAAAGUCUCUAUUGGAGCGAUCAAGAAUUGGAUGACUCAAAUCUAAGAACAAAGAAUCAAGAAGUUUUUUGUACUUAAAAGGACAAGAAUCUGAGUUUCAAUAAGCUAACGUCAUUUGGCAAUGAUCUAGAUGGCUUAAUUAGCCUUAAAAUUAUGUUAGGGGAUACGGAGUGGCAUGCGGCAAUCAACGGCAAACUAGUUUGCCGAGCGGCAAACACCGCCGCCGGCAAACUUGGGACGCGGCAAAGGAGCAAAAUCGGUGAUGGAUUACCGAUUCGAGAAGAGGGAGAAGGAGAGAGAGGGAGGGUAUUGUGGCCUGUGGGUGGGGUCCAUUCCUAUCUCAACCAAUCACACCUUUUUCCUUUUUUUUAAAAAAAAUAGUUUACCACUUCACCAAGUGUUUAAACCAUUGCCAACAUUUUUCACCAAAGUUUAAACACUUUUGCCUAAUUGACAUGGCGCGCUCUCAUUGGUCGGUUUUUUGGUUUGCCACUUUAAAGUGUUUAACCACUCCUUAUACCCUUAAAAAGGGUAAUUUUAAAUGUGGGUCAAAACUAUACUCUUUCAGCUUUUUUUAGGGGUGUGAAUUUCUUACACAACCUGAAAACACGACACGAACACGAAUUUUUUGGGUUUGGGUUUACCCUAAAUGGGUUCGGGUCAGUUUCAGGUCGAACCCGCGAACCCGUUUAGCUUAACAGGUCAGGUUCGGGUUCGCGGGUUGAUCCGUUUUGUUUAUAAAUGUAAAAAUAUGAUGGAUUAUGUGAAGGGUCACACGGGAUCCAUUUACAUCCAUCCGGGUCAAAUGGGUUUUCGUAUAUAAACAAACAACCCGGCCAUUUUCUUUCCUUAUUCUUCAUAUUCUCACAGACGCCAAGGGCGAUUAGGGUUUUAUCAUUCUUUUCCAAUCAAACAAUCCAAGAUCCAAGGUUUUUAAUAUGACACAAAAUCCAUCAAGGUCAGGAUCAUGACCGGAGAAACAAGAACCUACAAGUGGAUGUCAAAUAAGUAACAAUACAUAGGCCUAAUCCACCUAAAAAUCAACCUAAUUCAAUCAGUCUAGACGGAGAGAAACGCCAGGAUUUUCAAAAAGGUUAAGAGAUCGACCAAUGUUAUUGUGGAAGAGAUUGUCGCGAGAUCUUUUGGCUGGAUAAAGAACAGAUGCUAGCAGUCUAAUCUAAUAUCUGUUGGGAUAUUUGUGUCAAGCCGUCUUUUUCUGUAUAUCAGCUUGCUAGGCCUUGUGGUUUAAUAUAGUUAUUUUGUUUGCUGGAAAAAAACAAGACUAGAGAGGUAGAUGUUUUUUAUUACUUUUAUCUUUGACUUAAAAGGAGCAACACUAAAAGGUCUUUGAAUCUCAUGAAUGUUAGAAGGUUUUGACUAAUUAUAUGUCAAACCAGAAAAAAGUAUUUUUUUUCAUUUAUUUAUCUUUUCGAUUUUGUUA